rnacentral:piRNA from 1 species
AAAGGCACAGGUCAGCAGU